rnacentral:rRNA from 1 species
GGAAUUUUGGACAAUGAACGCAAGUCUGAUCCAGCCAUUCCGCGUGCAGGAUGAAGGCCCUCGGGUUGUAAACUGCUUUUGUACGGAACGAAAAGGUCUCUAUUAAUACUAGGGGCUCAUGACGGUACCGUAAGAAUAAGCACCGGCUAACUACGUGCCAGCAGCCGCGGUAAUACGUAGGGUGCGAGCGUUAAUCGGAAUUACUGGGCGUAAAGCGUGCGCAGGCGGUUAUACAAGACAGGCGUGAAAUCCCCGGGCUUAACCUGGGAAUGGCGUCUGUGACUGUAUAGCUAGAGUGUGUCAGAGGGGGGUGGAAUUCCACGUGUAGCAGUGAAAUGCGUAGAUAUGUGGAGGAACACCAAUGGCGAAGGCAGCCCCCUGGGAUAACACUGACGCUCAUGCACGAAAGCGUGGGGAGCAAACAGGAUUAGAUACCCUGGUAGUCCACGCCCUAAACGAUGCUGACUAGUUGUUGGGAAUUUACAUUCUCAGUAACGUAGCUAACGCGUGAAGUCAGCCGCCUGGGGAGUACGGUCGCAAGAUUAAAACUCAAAGGAAUUGACGG